CAUGCACAUUAUUAGAGCUUAGAGUUGAGGCCUCUGGUUGGCCGAUGAACUGGGAAGUGUAGGUAGUGUGCUACGUACUGUCCCGUCUUUCACUAAUUCCACAAGGGUCUCUGGCCUAAUGAGUAGAGUUUGAUAGUAAUUCUUGCUACAAGC
ensembl:snoRNA SNORA62 Small nucleolar RNA SNORA62/SNORA6 family